CAGUCGCCGCGGUAAAACGAAGGGGGCUAGCGUUGUUCGGAUUUACUGGGCGUAAAGGGUGCGUAGGCGGAUUGUUAAGUCAGGGGUGAAAUCCCGAGGCUCAACCUCGGAACUGCCUUUGAUACUGGCGAUCUUGAGUCCGGGAGAGGUGAGUGGAACUGCGAGUGUAGAGGUGAAAUUCGUAGAUAUUCGCAAGAACACCGGUGGCGAAGGCGGCUCACUGGCCCGGAACUGACGCUGAGGCACGAAAGCGUGGGGAGCAAACAGGAUUAGAUACCCGCGUAGUCCCUGUCUCUUAUAC
rnacentral:rRNA from 1 species